rnacentral:lncRNA from 1 species
AAUUUUGCGACACUUUUUACAACUACUCAAAAAUUAUAAAUGUAACACUUUUUCAUUGUUACUAGUGAUACAAAAAGUGUUCCAAUAAUGUAACAUUUGCGACACUUUUUAAUUGUUAUAGAUAAUACUAUAAAAUGUAACUAAAACUCUUUAGUAACAUGGACUUUAUCUAACAAUUGUUCGAGUGUUGCAAAAUUUAAUUAGUAACAAUUUUCUUGAUUUAGUUACAAUUUUCAAGUGUUGCUAAAUGUCAUUAUUGUAGUAGUGCCACGUGAAGAAUGAAGAUUAAGAACAGAACCGUCAGUGUUCGCCUUAACCCAAGUAAUGGUUGGGGUUUCCAAAUCACCGAUAUAAUCUCUUUAACACGCCUGUAGGAAGGAGGGAUCAUAAAAUUGUUUAAAACAGCCCCAUCCGUGACUAAACAAUUACCUUUGGAAUUAGCACCAGACAAAGCAACAAGGGACGAAAUUUUGGCCAUGGAAGUAUGAAUGGAAACGUUUGCGGAACUGAAGCGAAUCGCAUUCCUAGCCAACCAAAUUGUGUGAACCGUAUGAACAAGAGCAGCAGCAAACACAAAAAAAAUGUGAAUAAUGGAUGGAUACUUUACUGCCAUGAUAUAAAUUCAGGGAACAUUGAAGCUUGAGGUUGAGAAAGCAAUAUGAGAGAUAAAGAGAUAAUAUAAUGUCAACCACACCUCACUUUGUGGGAUAAGAAGCUAAAUUCCAAUCUCAUUUAUUUGGGAUCUUAUUCAAUGUUUGGCCCUUUGUAG